CCUACGGGUGGCAGCAGUGGGGAAUAUUGGGCAAUGGGCGCAAGCCUGACCCAGCAACGCCGCGUGAAGGAAGAAGGCUUUCGGGUUGUAAACUUCUUUUAUAAGGGAAGAGCAGAAGACGGUACCUCUUGAAUAAGCCACGGCUAACUACGUGCCAGCACCCGCGGUAAUACGUAGGUGGCACGCGUUGUCCGGAUUUACUGGGGGUAAAGGGCGUGCAUCCGGGAAGACAAGUCAGAUGUGAAAUCCCGCGGCCCAACCGCGGAACUGCAUUUGAAAUUGUUUUGCUUGAGUACCGGAGAGGUCAGCGGAAUUCCUUGUGUAGCGGUGAAAUGCGUAGAUAUAAGGAGGAACACCAGUGGCGAAGGCGGAGGACUGGACGGCAACUGACGGUGAGGCGCGAAAGCGUGGGGAGCAAACAGGAUUAGAUACCCUGGUAGUC
rnacentral:rRNA from 1 species